CGCGUAGGCGGCUCAUACAGUCAGGCGUGAAAUUCCUGGGCUCAACCUGGGGACUGCGCUUGAGACGUGUGGGCUUGAGUGGGGAAGAGGGUCGUGGAAUUCCCAGUGUAGAGGUGAAAUUCGUAGAUAUUGGGAAGAACACCGGUGGCGAAGGCGGCGACCUGGUCCUUGACUGACGCUGAGGCGCGAAAGCGUGGGGAGCAAACA
rnacentral:rRNA from 1 species